rnacentral:rRNA from 1 species
UACGUAGGUCCCGAGCGUUGUCCGGAUUUAUUGGGCGUAAAGCGAGCGCAGGUGGUUUAUUAAGUUUGGUGCAAAAGGCAGUGGCUCAACCAUUGUAUGCAUUGGAAACUGGUAGACUUGAGUGCAGGAGAGGAGAGUGGAAUUCCAUGUGUAGCGGUGAAAUGCGUAGAUAUAUGGAGGAACACCGGUGGCGAAAGCGGCUCUCUGGCCUGUAACUGACACUGAGGUUCGAAAGCGUGGGGAGCAAACAGG